rnacentral:rRNA from 1 species
UACGUAGGCACCAAGCGUUGUCCGGAUUUAUUGGGCGUAAAGAGCUCGUAGGCGGUUCAGUAAGUCGGGAGUGAAAUCUCUGGGCUCAACCCAGAGUCUGCUUCCGAAACUGCUGUGCUUGAGUGUGGGAGAGGCGCGUGGAAUUGCAGGUGUAGCGGUGAAAUGCGUAGAUAUCUGCAGGAACACCCGUGGCGAAAGCGGCGCGCUGGACCACUACUGACGCUGAGGAACGAAAGCUAGGGGAGCAAACAGG